rnacentral:lncRNA from 1 species
AUUUUUUUUAAUUGGCCUCCUACGCUUUUAUGUUUAUUUGAAUAAUUGUGUUAUUGGUGGAGACACAGGCUUCAUCAACAUCGUAUGUUGUAGUGAAGGGUGUCCGGAAGGUUUGGUGAAGGUGUGAAGGUCUUGUUGAGUUGUUGGCUAAGCUGUGGGUAGGUGGUGGUGAUUUGCAAAAUUGGGGCAUGGUUUGAGAGGUGAGUAUGUUGAAGGCAAUAUCACCGAAAAAUGGAUUAUGAAAUAGUCUUCCGAAAAACAUUAUCCAAGAAUUCGGGGAGGUGCUAACUUCUUUUUCAAAUUCCAAUUUCCUUAGUUGUAGAAUACAGUUAAGGAAAAUUGAUUAUUCCAUAACAGUUUGAAGGAGAGUUGCCACAAACAUGAUGAGGGAGUGUUGUCUAUGAUUGAGGUGUUAUACUAUUCGUGGGAAAACGGGACUGAAGAGAGGAAUGCAAAAGAGGUAGAUACAGAGAACGUAGAAUAUACAGAGAACGUAGAAGGUAAGGGAGGAGCUGCGAAACAAUCUUGAGGGAGAAAAAGUCAUAGUUCUCUUUACUAUUGACUCAGGGAUAGAAUUAGUAUGUUAUAAAUUAGGAAUUGUACGAAGAAAAUAUGAGAUGCCAGAAGUAAAAACCUUUUUAUUGUUGUCAUAAUUUAGUUGAAUCAUUGAAUAUUUUAUAUUCUUUUUGUUGCACUUGAGUUGAAUAAACACUAGUGUAGAAAGGGGUUUAGACAUCGGUUAUUUUAGACUUUUAACGUCAUAUAUGGAACCGACGUCUAUUCGAGUGACGUUAAAUG